CAAAAAGGGGACUCAAUAUUUGUAGAAUUAUGUUUUUUGGAGUUCCACCUGCAACUGGACACAUACGUUUAUAAGAGACGUGUUUAUUCCGAAUUAAGAACAAUGAAAGUAUUGGCAAGAAAAGAUGAGUGGUGUCUGGUUACCCUGUUGUCAUCCAGUACUGCCGUGCUAUGAUCACACCUCCUCCUAUACCCACUGAGUACCCUGUCUUGACGUCAGGGCCGGCACUGCAUCCCCUCCACACACACUCAAAGACCCUCCACAUAUCUGUCAUUCCUGCUUGGGACAGCAGCUAAGGCAGCAAGCAAUAAGAUGUCUGGAGGAAUCUUCUGCCCUUUGGAGAACCUAUAUGACCCAGACAGUGCCAACUGCCACCCCUUGGUAUGCCACUUGUGCCAUGAGCAGUACGAACACCCCUGUCUACUGGAUUGUUACCACACAUUUUGCGCCAGUUGUCUGCGUGGCAGGGCAGUGGAAGGCAGACUCUCCUGCCCCCUCUGUGGACAACAGUCCAUUGUCAAAGGCCUAAGUGCCUUACCCCAGGAGGACCGCCUGCUCAAAUUCCUGGUGGAUAACUCUACUGACUGUGAGGAGACUGUUCAGUGUUCCAACUGUGAUCUGGAGUGCAAGAAGCAGUUUGUUUAAAAGGUAUGAAUUGAGAGACGCAAUGAUGGUGAUGGAGUGAGAGAAGCACCGAGCGGGAAGAGGAAAAUGGUGUACGUAUGUAUGGGUGUGUAUGUGUGUGUGUGCGUGCGCGUAUGUAUGCGUAUGUGUGUGUAUAUGCAUGGGUAUAUGUAUGUGUGUGUAUGUGUGUGUAUGUAUGUAUGUGUAUAUAUGCGCGUAGAUAUGUGAAAGUGGGUGCUGUUUUUCUUGUUUUUGUUCUGUGUGCUUUGUCUCUGUUGUAUCUCUUAAUAUGGGUGAAAAUUGUGA